rnacentral:lncRNA from 1 species
GCUCCCACGAUGAAACCGAUCGCAAUCGGUGCAAUCGUCCCGAGGUUGCCCCUCUUGGGGUCCACGGCGGUGGCGUACACGGUGUAGACUAGGCCGAAGGUCAUGACGAUCUCGAGGACGAGCGCCUCCCAGACGCUGACGCCGGUGAGGCCGAAGGUGCCGGUGGAGAGGCCGCCGGUGGAGAAGCGAAGGAGGAAGCAGGCAAUAGUGGAGCCGAGGAGCUGAGCGAACCAGUAGAGAAUCCCUCUGAGAAGAGUGAUGUUGCCGCCGACGAAGGCGCCGAAGGUCACAGCCGGGUUGACAUGCCCGCCCGAGAUGUUGGCGGCCACCGACACCGCCACGAACAGACCGAAGGCGUGCGCCAGCGACGCUGCCACCAGGCCCG